rnacentral:miRNA from 1 species
GAUGCUGCUACUGAUGCC